CCCUUAGAGUUUGAUCAUGGCUCAGGACGAACGCUGGCGGCGGGCUUAACACAUGCAAGUCGAAGGAGAAGGUAGAAGCUUGCUUUUACUGGAGACUGGCGGACGGGUGAGUAACGCGUAGAUAACCUGCCUAUAGCUGGGGGAUAACACUGCGAAAGUGGUGCUAAUACCGCAUAAUGCAGCGGGGCCGCAUGGCCAUAGUUGUUAAAGGUUUCGACCGGCUAUAGAUGGGUCUGCGUGCUAUUAGUUAGUUGGUAGGGUAACGGCCUACCAAGGCGAUGAUAGCUAGGGGGUCUGAGAGGAUGAUCCCCCACACUGGGACUGAGACACGGCCCAGACUCCUACGGGAGGCAGCAGUGAGGAAUCUUGCGCAAUGGGCGAAAGCCUGACGCAGCCACGCCGCGUGCCGGAUGAAGGCCCUAUGGGUUGUAAACGGCUUUUACUAGGGAAGAACGAGAGGGUUUCGAUCUUCUGUGACGGUACCUAGUGAAUAAGCACCGGCUAACUCCGUGCCAGCAGCCGCGGUAAUACGGAGGGUGCAAGCGUUGUCCGGAAUCAUUGGGUGUAAAGGGUACGUAGGCGGGAGCCUAAGUCUGGGGUGAAAUCUUGCCGCUUAACGGUAAAAUGGCCCUGGAUACUGGGUUUCUUGAGUGCAGAAGAGGCAGGUGGAAUUCGUGG
rnacentral:rRNA from 1 species